rnacentral:rRNA from 1 species
UACGAGGGGGGCAAGCGUUGUUCGGAAUUAUUGGGCGUAAAGGGCGCGUAGGCGGUGCGGUAAGUCACCUGUGAAACCUCUAGGCUCAACCUAGAGCCUGCAGGCGAAACUGCCGUGCUUGGGGGUGGGAGAGGUGCGUGGAACUGCGAGUGUAGAGGUGAAAUUCGUAGAUAUUCGCAAGAACACCAGUGGCGAAGGCGGCUCACUGGCCCGGUACUGACGCUGAGGUGCGAAAGCGUGGGGAGCAAACAGG